rnacentral:rRNA from 1 species
GACGAACGCUGGCGGCGUGCUUAACACAUGCCAGUCGAACGCUGAAGCACCAGCUUGCUGGUGUGGAUGAGUGGCGAACGGGUGAGUAAUACGUGAGUAACCUGCCCUUGACUCUGGGAUAAGCCCGGGAAACUGGGUCUAAUACUGGAUGCUACAUGUCACCGCAUGGUGGUGUGUGGAAAGGGUUUACUGGUCUUGGAUGGGCUCACGGCCUAUCAGCUUGUUGGUGAGGUAAUGGCUCACCAAGGCGACGACGGGUAGCCGGCCUGAGAGGGUGACCGGCCACACUGGGACUGAGGAACGGCCCAGACUCCUACGGGAGGCAGCAGUGGGGAAUAUUGCACAAUGGGCGAAAGCCUGAUGCAGCGACGCCGCGUGAGGGAUGACGGCCUUCGGGUUGUAAACCUCGUUCAGCAGGGAAGAAGCCACAAGUGACAGUACCUGCAGAAGAAGCGCCGGCUAACUACGUG